UGCUGUCACUUAUAGAUGGAUCCGCGCUGCAUUAGCUAGUUGGUAAGGUAACGGCUUACCAAGGCAACGAUGCAUAGCCGACCUGAGAGGGUGAUCGGCCACACUGGAACUGAGACACGGUCCAGACUCCUACGGGAGGCAGCAGUAGGGAAUCUUCCGCAAUGGGCGAAAGCCUGACGGAGCAACGCCGCGUGAGUGAUGAAGGUCUUCGGAUCGUAAAACUCUGUUAUUAGGGAAGAACAUAUGUGUAAGUAACUGUGCACAUCUUGACGGUACCUAAUCAGAAAGCCACGGCUAACUACGUGCCAGCAGCCGCGGUAAUACGUAGGUGGCAAGCGUUAUCCGGAAUUAUUGGGCGUAAAGCGCGCGUAGGCGGUUUUUUAAGUCUGAUGUGAAAGCCCACGGCUCAACCGUGGAGGGUCAUUGGAAACUGGAAAACUUGAGUGCAGAAGAGGAAAGUGGAAUUCCAUGUGUAGCGGUGAAAUGCGCAGAGAUAUGGAGGAACACCAGUGGCGAAGGCGACUUUCUGGUCUGUAACUGACGCUGAUGUGCGAAAGCGUGGGGAUCAAACAGGAUUAGAUACCCUGGUAGUCCACGCCGUAAACGA
rnacentral:rRNA from 1 species